CUCCUCAAAACCAGUUGCUAUGCUUGUUGUUUAUCCUGAACUGAGUUUAAAAAAAGAAAAAAAGAAAAAAGGAAUCUUGCACUCCAUGGAUGAGGCUUUCUAGGCUCUCGGUGUUGCAUUUCGGGGUUUCUUUCUUGAGGUUUCGCAGACUCGGGCAUGUUCUUUUAUCUGAUGGGCUGCGGGGGAAUGUCUCUGUUUUUUCAUUACAUGGGAAAAAAGGUCUGGUUCUGUAUGUGGGCAUUUGGCCUUGUUGGGGGGUAAAAAAAAAGUGUCUUUAUUGGCAAAAUCGAGAAUAGGAGAUUCAUUUCUGAGAGGAAAGGAAGAUUCAUAGGAGUGAACUGAAGAUAAAAGUUUGUCUUUUGGUUUUUAUUUAUGUUGGUGGAAACCAAUGGUUUAGGUGGCUGGUGGCGUGAUCUUUGGAGGUAUUUGUGAACUGAAGAUUCGUUGAUGGAACCCAGAUGGAGAUGGAGAGAGCCAAGCUUGAGAACGAGCAGAAGAGGGCUCGAGGAUGAGAGAACGGUGCUUCUCUUCCGCCAAGAAGGAGCUCCAAUUGCUCGCUCUUCAACAGCAGCAGCAACAUUCAUCCAACAAAAGGAGCGGCAGCGGCGAUGAGGGUUGAAAGUUGAAGGAUUUUGAAAAAAACUGAAAGGAAAAACUCCAGGUUACGCAAAGCCUUCGCCUCCAAUUCAAAAAUUGUUUCGAUUGUGUGUUUCGUUUGACCGGACGGCGGCUCUGCAACAAGGAAGAAAGCUCCGACCACCAACCCAACCAUGGCCCUUUCGAAGGUGGAGACGCUGUGUGACUUGUUCGAUGGAGGUUUGAUAGCUUUGGACCGUGUUCUUACAAAAAGUUCGAGUCUUUCAAAAUGGGCAUCGGGAAUUGGUUGGUACUCCAUUGAUCGCUAGAUCGAGAGUUAGAAUUCUAUAACUAAGACAGGCCAACGCAAGUUGGUUCUUUCUUGAGGCAUAGAUCACCAACCACCAACCAAGAUAACUCAUGUUGGAUCUGUGAGAUGAGGUAUCGAAUGUUAAAGCUACUACUAGAUUGUGUUUCCUGAGUAUAAAAUGCAGGUACCUGUGUAAUCUGCCUUCUAGUUUUUGGAGUGCUUUUGGUGUGGACUUUAUGCAGGAACAUUCACCAUACUUUGGAUCCUUGACCCACAUAAUGCAAUACAAAGGGGAAAAUGAUGUUUUGUUGCUAGCUAAACAUCUCUAAACUCUCAUCAUCAUAUUGAAAGCUAAUUUAUCAAUUCCCUAUGAUUGGCCACCAUUGUCCAAUUUUUUUAAAAGAUUUUUAAUCCUUGUACAGAUCUUUUGUCCAUCUUACUCUAAUAUUUGGUUCAAGUCCAUUCAUCAGUGAUUUUUCUAAUAUAUCUUGCCUUAUGCUGUCAAAAUAUUCUAAAUCUCCUUCUCUUUCAUACCUGUCUUUUUUCUUUUGUUGUUUUAUCUCUGACUUUAUUGGGCAGGAAUCUGUUUUUAGAUAGAAGAUGGCAACCCCAGAAGAAAACAAUGAUGUGAAAACUCUUGAAACACAGCCCAACAAGCGGAGAAAAAAGAAGUCCAUCUGGGAACACUUCACAAUAGGAAUUAUGAGUCCUGGAUGUAGAAGGGCGUGCUGUAAGCAGUGCAAGCAAAGUUUCGCCUAUGGCACAGGCUCAAAGGCCGCUAGCACCAGCCAGCAAAGUAAGAUGUGAUGAAUCAUUGAGUGAACUGAUCUUGUCAAGUGCAGAAAUUUUAGAAUUACCUAAAUCCAUUGGGUAUUUGAAAAACUUGAAAAUUUUGAAUAUUGCUUACUGUACGAAACUGAGUAGUUUACUCAGUACUAUUAGCAAGUUGAUUAAACUGAAGUAUUAAUUGCCUCAUUCUGCCGAAGUCUGGGAGGGGAUGUUCCUAUAGAUAGGUUGUCUUCGUUGAA